AUACCAGACUCCUACGGGAGGCAGCAGUGGGGAAUAUUGCACAAUGGGGGAAACCCUGAUGCAGCGACGCCGCGUGAGCGAUGAAGUAUUUCGGUAUGUAAAGCUCUAUCAGCAGGGAAGAAAAUGACGGUACCUGACUAAGAAGCCCCGGCUAACUACGUGCCAGCAGCCGCGGUAAUACGUAGGGGGCAAGCGUUAUCCGGAUUUACUGGGUGUAAAGGGAGCGUAGACGGCGGUGCAAGCCAGAUGUGAAAGCCCGGGGCUCAACCCCGGGACUGCAUUUGGAACUGUGCUGCUAGAGUGUCGGAGAGGCAGGCGGAAUUCCUAGUGUAGCGGUGAAAUGCGUAGAUAUUAGGAGGAACACCAGUGGCGAAGGCGGCCUGCUGGACGAUGACUGACGUUGAGGCUCGAAAGCGUGGGGAGCAAACAGGAUUAGAUACCCUCGUA
rnacentral:rRNA from 1 species